GAUGAACGCUAGCGGCAGGCCUAAUACAUGCAAGUCGAACGGUAUCCCCCUUUCGGGGGGGAGAGAGUGGCGGAUGGGUGCGUAACGCGUAUGCAACCUGCCCCCUUCAGGGGAAUAGCUCCCGGAAACGGGAAUCAAUACCCCAUGUUCCCAUAUGCCGGCAUCGGUUUAUGGGCAAAGCCUUCGGGCGGUAGGGGAUGGGCAUGCGUCGGAUUAGCUUGUUGGCGGUGUAACGGACCACCAAGGCUACGAUCCUUAGGGGUUCUGAGAGGAAGGUCCCCCACACUGGCACUGAGACACGGGCCAGACUCCUACGGGAGGCAGCAGUAGGGAAUAUUGGGCAAUGGGCGGUAGCCUGACCCAGCCAUGCCGCGUGCAGGAAGACGGCGUUCUGCGUUGUAAACUGCUUUUACACGGGAAGAAAAGGCCCAUGCGUGGGACAUUGCCGGUACCGUGUGAAUAAGCACCGGCUAACUCCGUGCCAGCAGCCGCCGUAAUAC
rnacentral:rRNA from 1 species